AGGGAAAAAAAAAAAACAAGCUGGAUGAACUCGAGCUGUAAGGUGAUCUCCUGGGCAGCCAGCAGCCCUGAUAGGCUACUUUGCGUGAGCCAGUGUUUUUGUGAAAGUGAGGAUGAAGUCCGAAGGUGUGAUUCAGCCUUAAGCUUUGAAGAUAGAAAGUUCCGACUCACAAUUCAGCAAAAGCAGGAGAGAACAGCAAGAACGAGCUGGCUCUGAACACACGACACAGGGCUGGAUUCCUCAACCCCAAGGUCCACCCUCAGAAACACUUCUCCUCCAGUAAGGCUCUCCAAGACUUGACCACGCAGGGGAGCAAGCAGGAAGCUCAAUCACAGCCACCUGAGGCCAUGGGGUCUUGAGAAACACCGUGGUUAACAUCUGAUGGAAAUGAAUAAGUCAAGAGGAAGACAAAUAUACAGUUUGCCCUUCUUAUGACAGUUUGGACCACAAUGUCACGCAGUGCUGUUAAUUGUACUAAGGACAGUUGGCUUUCUGUAUAUUGUGUGUUUGGAGGAAUUGAGGUGGUAUGUUUUGGGCCUUUAUGUAACUCAUGGAGAUUUAUGCCUACACAGAGGCAUGCUAAUUACGGUUGCACUAGAAUAAUGCCAUGGCCAAUCAGACCUUUCCUUUACCAUAGUCAAAGUGGACUGCUUGUAUAAAUAAGGUGCUGAGAUUACAGGACUAUCAAACCCAAAUUUUAUGUACUACCACACAUAUUU